rnacentral:rRNA from 1 species
GAUGAACGCUGGCGGCGUGCCUAAUACAUGCAAGUCGAGCGAACAGACGAGGAGCUUGCUCCUCUGACGUUAGCGGCGGACGGGUGAGUAACACGUGGAUAACCUACCUAUAAGACUGGGAUAACUUCGGGAAACCGGAGCUAAUACCGGAUAACAUGUUGAACCGCAUGGUUCAACAGUGAAAGACGGUCUUGCUGUCACUUAUAGAUGGAUCCGCGCCGCAUUAGCUAGUUGGUAAGGUAACGGCUUACCAAGGCAACGAUGCGUAGCCGACCUGAGAGGCUGAUCGGCCACACUGGAACUGAGACACGGUCCAGACUCCUACGGGAGGCAGCAGUAGGGAAUCUUCCGCAAUGGGCGAAAGCCUGACGGAGCAACGCCGCGUGAGUGAAGAAGGUCUUCGGAUCGUAAAACUCUGUUAUUAGGGAAGAACAAAUGUGUAAGUAACUAUGCACGUCUUGACGGUACCUAAUCAGAAAGCCACGGCUAACUACGUG